CCUACGGGAGGCAGCAGUGAGGAAUAUUGGUCAAUGGCCGAGAGGCUGAACCAGCCAAGUCGCGUGAGGGAAGACGGCCCUACGGGUUGUAAACCUCUUUUGUCGGGGAGCAAAGCGAGUCACGUGUGACUCAUUGAGAGUACCCGAAGAAAAAGCAUCGGCUAACUCCGGUCCAGCAGCCGCGGUAAUACGGGGGAUGCGAGCGUUAUCCGGAUUUAUUGGGUUUAAAGGGUGCGCAGGCGGAGGUGCAAGUCAGGGGGCAAAUUGCGGGGCUCAACCCCGUACUGCCGUUGAAACUGCAUCCCUUGAGUGCGCGAGAAGUAUGCGGAAUGCGUGGUGUAGCGGUGAAAUGCAGAGAUAUCACGCAGAACUCCGAUUGCGAAGGCAGCAUACCGGCGCGCAACUGACGCUCAUGCACGAAAGCGUGGGUAUCGAACAGGAUUAGAUACCCGUGUAGUC
rnacentral:rRNA from 1 species